AUUGAACGCUGGCGGCAGGCUUAACACAUGCAAGUCGAGCGAGCGGCGGACGGGUGAGUAAUGUCUGGGAAACUGCCUGAUGAAGGGGGAUAACUACUGGAAACGGUCGCUAAUACCGCAUACCAUCAGAUGUGCCCAGAUGGGAUUAGCGAGUAGGUGGGGUAAUGGCUCACCUAGGUGACGAUCCCUAGCUGGUCUGAGAGGAAGACCAGCCACACUGGACCGUGGACACGUUCAAGCCUCCUACGGGGGGCAGCAGUGGUAAAUAUUGCACAAGGGGAGCAAGCCUGAUGCAGCCAUGCCGCGUGUGUGAAGAAGGCCGUCGGGUUGUAAAGCACUUUCAGCGAGGAGGCGUUACUCGCAGAAGAAGCACCGGCUAACUCCGUGCCAGCAGCCAGGUAAUAC
rnacentral:rRNA from 1 species